AUUGAACGCUGGCGGCAUGCCUUACACAUGCAAGUCGAGCGGCAGCGCGGGGGCAACCCUGGCGGCGAGCGGCGAACGGGUGAGGAACACAUCGGAACGUGCCCCGGAGUGGGGGAUAACGCCGCGAAAGCGGCGCUAAUACCGCAUAUGCUCUGAGGAGGAAAGCGGGGGACCUGUGAGGGCCUCGCGCUCUGGGAGCGGCCGAUGUCCGAUUAGCUAGUUGGUGGGGUAAAGGCCUACCAAGGCGACGAUCGGUAGCUGGUCUGAGAGGAUGAUCAGCCACACUGGGACUGAGACACGGCCCAGACUCCUACGGGAGGCAGCAGUGGGGAAUUUUGGACAAUGGGGGCAACCCUGAUCCAGCCAUGCCGCGUGCGGGAAGAAGGCCUUCGGGUUGUAAACCGCUUUUAGCCGGGAAGAAAAGGCCACGGACAAUACCCGUGGUUCUUGACGGUACCGGCGGAAUAAGCACCGGCUAACUACGUGCCAGCCGCCGCGGUAAUAC
rnacentral:rRNA from 1 species